ACUAACAAGGAUUCCCCUAGUAACGGCGAGUGAAGAGGGAAGAGCCCAAGAUUGAAAGCUGGCGUCUUCGGCGUCCGCAUUGUAAUCUCAAGAAGUGUUUUCCGCUUCGGACCAUGCCUAAGUCCCUUGGAAAAGGGCAUCAUAGAGGGUGAUAAUCCCGUACAUGGCAUGGAGCGCCCGAAGCUUUGUGAUACGCUUUCUACGAGUCGAGUUGUUUGGGAAUGCAGCUCAAAAUGGGUGGUAAAUGCCAUCUAAGGCUAAAUAUUGGGGAGAGACCGAUAGCGAACAAGUACAGUGAUGGAAAGAUGAAAAGAACUUUGAAAAGAGAGUUAAACAGUACGUGAAAUUGCCAAAAGGGAAGGGUAGGAGGUCAGAGAUGCGUCUUGGGAUUCAGCCUUGCUUUUUCGCUUGGUGUUUUUCCCAAGUUGCAGGCCAACGUCGGUUUUGGGCACUGGAGAAGGGUGGGAGGAACGUGGCACCUCUCGGGGUGUGUUAUAGCCUCCUACUGGAUACAGCGACCGAGACCGAGGACAGCAGCGUACUCGCAAGAGCGGGCCUUCGGGCACCUUUACGCUUAGGGCGUUGGCAUAAUGGCCCUCUACCACCCGUCUUGAAACACGGACCAAGGAGUCUAACAUGUAUGCGAGUCUUUGGGUGGCAAACCCAUAGGCGCAAUGAAAGUGAAUUCAGGUGGGAUCCGCAAGGUGCACCAUCGACCGAUCCUCACGUCUUUUAAGUCGUGGAUUUGAGUAAGAGCAUACCUGUUGGGACCCGAAAGAUGGUGAACUAUGCCUGAAUAGGGUGAAGCCAGAGGAAACUCUGGUGGAGGCUCGUAGCGGUUCUGACGUGCAAAUCGAUCGUCAAAUUUGGGUAUAGGGGCGAAAGACUAAUCGAACCAUUUUUUUUUUUUUUAAUUGCUAGGUGGUUAAGAGGUGGCUAAAAGGGCCAACCUA
rnacentral:rRNA from 1 species